GCGGCGGUAGCUCAGCCUGGUUAGAGCGCUCGGGGGCGGACCGGGAAGUCCCGGGUUCAGGGAGAACCGCCCAAAAAUCCCGGCCGCCGCACCA
rnacentral:tRNA from 1 species